AUCCUCACGGAAUAGCCGUUCUUCGAUGACCCCUUUUGACCUUUUACGAAAACGCGCGAGCUAGCAUUGAGUCCAUUUUGUUCUUUUAUCUAAACUUCAACAUUAUUUCCUUAACACAAAAAUUAAAUCCGAUAUGGCAACAUAGUAAAUGAUCUUAAUAACUACUAAAAAUAGGUGAUUCGUAAUGGUUGGGUAUAUAAGGAUAUUGUAAUUCGAGUUAAAUUCUAAUUAAAUUCAUAAAUUUCGCUUUUCGCAUAACAUGGGAAAAUCAUUGAAUACUUUAAGUUC